GCUCCAAAGAGUGGAUGUUGGACCAUGUUCCUGGGGGUUUUGUUGUGAGAGAUAUCAAGAGGAAUUUGGGGGAAGCAUCCUGUAUUUGGGGAGAGUCAGGAACUGUGUGCUGUUAGCCUGGGUCCAGCUGCUAGCUGAAGUUUGAGGCUCUUUGCUGUGCCCUGUGCCUCCAGCCGCAGCUUCAGAUGUAGUGGCAAUGCUGAGUCAUGGCCUGAAGCAGUGAUGGAGCACCUGGGGGGGAAGGCAGGGCCAGCCCAGGGGAGCUCAGGUGCACACAGUGUAGCUGAGUGAUGGAAGGGGUGGAGCCAGGAUCCACCCCUUCCCAGUCCUGAUUUAAGGGUUGGCAGUGGAGGUGAGGGCAUCUUGCUGGAGAUCCCUGCCUACCUGAGGCCUUCUAAAGGAGGGAGUGUGCUUAGCAAGUUGGUCAUCUGAAUGAGGACAAAGAGAUGUUCUCCCCACCAGGGCGUGCUCCGGGCUCGGUCAGGUGAGCUCCCACAGGGCACGUGGGCAUCUGCAGGCAGAGCUGGAGCCGUCCUUGUGCCUCUGCUUGUCCCAAUAGCGUGCCAUUAAAUCCUCCACCCGGCACGGGGUGGGGUCUGGUCUCUGCUGGAUGAUCUCCUUCUGACCCUGGGGGGCUUUGCUGUGUGCUUCGCUUCCCUGGAGAGGGCUCUUCAGCAUCUACCCAAGCAGGGAGACCGUGUCUGAGACACCGACGCUCCACAGGAAAGCUCUUCUGCUUCGUGGAAACUGAAAAUCAUCCCCAGAAACUCCAGGUGCUCCGCGGCCGGUCGAGCACUGCCAGAUCCCUUCUCGUCCUCCGGUCGGUGUCACUUCCCCGCCAUGGCCGCUAGGUGGCGCUGCGGGCCGUUCCCGGCGCUGAGAGGAGGUCGCUGCGGAGAUGUUGCCGAACCGACCCUGCUUUCCCUCUGCCUCUAUGGGCUGAAGGUACCGGCAUAGAACUUCCUUUCACUGUGCUCCCGAGGCAGAGCCUAAAGCGGCUCAGGACCUUCAGUUAGCUACAAGAUAUCUCAAGUUUGUAGCCACGUGGGUAGGUGUGGGACUCAGAAAAGCGCUCUGAUGUUUCCUGGGCUUACUGUUGCAGAUGUGGGCCAGGAACAUGACUACAGCCCAGCCUGUCCCUCACCAAUGAGUGCUAAGUAUCAGAGAAGUCUCAUGAAUUCCACUCAGCCUUCAGUCAGUUGAUCAAAUGAAGUCAUACCUCGUGCUGCAAGGAAGCUCUGGUAAUGGAUACAUUUCUUGGAACAAUAAAUGCACAUCAAAACGAUGGUGCAAAAUGCAUUGGAGAAAUAACACCCAAACUCAACUGAGAAACAGGGAAGGAAAGAAGUGACUUUGUUGUGAAAUGUGACAAUUUUCUUCAAGUCUGAAUUAAUACUGAUGUGAUGUUAAUACCAGAGAUGUUUAUGCCCUAACCUGCUGCGUGCACUCUGCUUUGCCUUCUGGGUGCAUUUGAAGGCUACAGCAUCCUAUGGGUGCAGCAAAUCAGUGCUGUACAAACAGCUUUUCAGGGUUAUUGUGCUUUGCUGGCUGAGCUUGUCCAGAUCUUCAUAAAUGCCUUUACUGACACCUCCUCAAUCUGGGUUCUGCCUUUUGGCAAUCCAGGCUUCCAUGAGCUGAUAUGAGUUUCCAGUAUAUGCAGCAUCCAGCACAGAUACGCGCUGGCUGCAGAGAGGCAGCACUUGUUUUGUUCCAGCGUCAAGCGCUGUCGGCACGCUCUGUGCGACUCGGCCCUGUGACAGCUGGGGCACAGCGAACUGCUCCUGUUUGUCCAACACGUCACUCAGCAAAAAUAAAAACAGCUGAGAAAGCUCUACUUCUGGGAAGUCGGUAGAUACUGCCUCUGCAUGUCAGAGCCGUGGUGGUGUUGGGGAACGACGCUAUCACUGCACCUUGGAGUGGUGCUCAGUGCUCACAGCUGCUCCCUGGGUACACAUAGCUCUGGUGAGGGCACAGCUGUGCGGGUACCGGGUGGUUCCACACCAGAGAUGUGGGAGGUGGAGCCCCACAGUGCAGCUGAACAGAGGAUGGCAUCCUCAAGCUGAUGGAAGGCUGCAUUAGCUUCAGAUGUUACCGUGGAUCUACCUGGCAGAAGAGGGAGGGAAGGAAGAUCGUCUUACUGUUAUAACACUAAAACAGCCCCAGAAUUUGUUUUAAAAGGUGGUGUGGAAUAUAGAAGAGGUGAUGUGAGCGCAGUGCAGCAUGGAACUCUAUUGGCUGCCCAGAGAAGGAUGGGGUGUGGAAGGAUGGACCUGGAGCUUGUAGUCCCUUGUUGUCUGGUUCUACUUCUAUGCUCAGCAAAUCAUUGAAUUUCUCAGCUCUUCCCUUUCCGUAAACUGAGGAUAAUGGUAGAAACUCCUCUGCUUCACAAGAGUGCUGGGUUGUGAAUGAAUUAACAUGUGCCGAACAACCAGACAUAGGAGACACGAUGUUAGGAGGAGAUAAAAUUGCUGCAGAGGAAGCGCAUUUUUUAAAUUGCUGCGAUCUCAGGAGUGAAAUAGCUGGGCAUGAUGGGUCUAGACUGGGGAAUACGAAUUAGAUGUCAGAGACAUCUGGGAGUUCAUGUGAUCUGGACUGGAAUGCCUAUAGCUGAAGCAGCGAGAGCGUGGGGUUGUCUUCAGGGUACAGAAAAGUGUUCAUUCUUUCACUGCAAAUGGGAGGGAGAUCCUCAAGUUGAUGAUCCCAGUGAUGAGUGGGUUUUUUUGUUUUUUCUUUUCUUUUCUUUUUUUUUUCUUUUUUUUUGAGUUGGUAAAGUUAAUAUUAAACCCCAUGACUUUGAGCUAAAAAUUCAUAGCAGACAAAAGUGAGCUCUCGUGCUUUCUGCCCUCCAGCCACAGCGAGGGAUGCCUGGUCCAAUAUUUAUUCCAUUGCUGGGAUACACCCAGCACCAGAGUGAGGAUGAUAAAUGAGCAAUUCGUACUGUUGGACUGGAUUCGGAGUUUGCCAAUGAUUCCAAAAUAGUUCCUGAAUUAGUCUAUCGCUAAUCACCCACUUGCACCAUAAUUGGGAGGCCAAGAAGUUCUCGCAGGCAGCGCAUGAGACAUACAGGGGAAAAUGAUUAAAACAAAGCCAAAAAUACCACCGCAUUGGAGUCAUGAGUCAGAUGCCGACCUUUCACGUAAACGCCGCGGAGAGGCUGAGAUCGGACGGCACCGCGGGGCUCCCGGUGGGAGGGAGGAGCGGACAUCUCCGCGGAGAGCUCUGCGCAGGAGGGGACGGGGCG
ensembl:lncRNA